UUGGAACUUAGUGACAGGUGCUGCAUGGUUGUUGUCAGCUCGUGCCUUGAGGUGUUCGGUUAAGUCCGUUAACGAGCGCAACCCAUGUCCUUAGUUAUUAUGUCUAAGGAGACUGCCUUGGUUAACAAGGAGGAAGGUGUGGAUGACGUCAAGUCCUCAUGGCCCUUACGGGUUGGGCUACACACGUGCUACAAUGGCAUCAUCAAUGGGUU
rnacentral:ncRNA from 1 species